CCUACGGGUGGCAGCAGUAGGGAAUCUUCCACAAUGGACGAAAGUCUGAUGGAGCAACGCCGCGUGAGUGAAGAAGGGUUUCGGCUCGUAAAGCUCUGUUGGUAGUGAAGAAAGAUAGAGGUAGUAACUGGCCUUGAUUUGACGGUAAUUACUAAGAAAGUCACGGCUAACUACGUGCCAGCAGCCGCGGUAAUACGUAGGUGGCAAGCGUUGUCCGGAUGUAUUGGGCGUAAAGCGAGUGCAGGCGGUUCAAUAAGUCUGAUGUGAAAGACUUCGGCUCAACCGGGGAAUUGCAUCAGAAACUGUUGAACUUGAGAGCAGAAGAGGAGAGUGGAACUCAAUGUGUAGCGGUGGAAUGCGUAGAUAUAUGGAAGAACACCAGUGGCGAAGGCGGCUCUCUGGUCUGCAACUGACGCUGAGGCUCGAAAGCAUGGGUAGCGAACAGGAUUAGAUACCCUGGUAGUC
rnacentral:rRNA from 1 species